AGGUGUGGGGACCAUUCCACGGUUUCCGCGCCGCAGCUAACGCAUUAAGUGCCCCGCCUGGGGAGUACGGCCGCAAGGCUAAAACUCAAAGGAAUUGACGGGGGCCCGCACAAGCGGCGGAGCAUGCGGAUUAAUUCGAUGCAACGCGAAGAACCUUACCAAGGCUUGACAUGUUCUCGAUCGCCGUAGAGAUACGGUUUCCCCUUUGGGGCGGGAUCACAGGUGGUGCAUGGUUGUCGUCAGCUCGUGUCGUGAGAUGUUGGGUUAAGUCCCGCAACGAGCGCAACCCUCGUUCCAUGUUGCCAGCACGUAAUGGUGGGGACUCAUGGGAGACUGCCGGGGUCAACUCGGAGGAAGGUGGGGACGACGUCAAAUCAUCAUGCCCCUUAUGUCUUGGGCUUCACGCAUGCUACAAUGGCCGGUACAAUGGGUUGCGAUACUGUGAGGUGGAGCUAAUCCCAAAAAGCCGGUCUCAGUUCGGAUUGGGGUCUGCAACUCGACCCCAUGAAGUCGGAGUCGCUAGUAAUCGCAGAUCAGCAACGCUGCGGUGAAUACGUUCCGGGCCUUGUACACACCGCCCGUCAAGUCACGAAAGUCGGUAACACCCGAAGCCGGUGGC
rnacentral:rRNA from 1 species